rnacentral:rRNA from 1 species
CGCUGGCGGCAUGCCUACACAUGCAAGUCGAACGGCAGGCACGGGAGCAAUCCUGGUGGCGAGUGGCGAACGGGUGAGUAAUAUAUCGGAACGUGCCCAGGUCGUGGGGGAUAACGUAGCGAAAGCUACGCUAAUACCGCAUACGAUCUAUGGAUGAAAGCGGGGGAUCGCAAGACCUCGCGCGAUUGGAGCGGCCGAUAUCAGAUUAGGUAGUUGGUGAGGUAAAGGCUCACCAAGCCGACGAUCUGUAGCUGGUCUGAGAGGACGACCAGCCACACUGGGACUGAGACACGGCCCAGACUCCUACGGGAGGCAGCAGUGGGGAAUUUUGGACAAUGGGCGCAAGCCUGAUCCAGCAAUGCCGCGUGCAGGAUGAAGGCCUUCGGGUUGUAAACUGCUUUUGUACGGAACGAAACGGUGAGCUCUAAUACAGUUUGCUAAUGACGGUACCGUAAGAAUAAGCACCGGCUAACUACGUG